UUGAACGCUGGCGGCAUGCUUUACACCUGCAAGUCGCACGGUAACAGCACUUCGGUGGCUGACGAGUGGCGAACGGGUGAGUAAUACAUCGGAACGUGCCUAGUAGUGGGGGAUAACUACUCGAAGGAGUAGCUAAUACCGCAUGAGAUCUAAGGAUGAAAGCAGGGGACCUUCGGGCCUUGCGCUACUAGAGCGGCUGAUGGCAGAUUAGGUAGUUGGUGGGAUAAAAGCUUACCAAGCCGACGAUCUGUAGCUGGUCUGAGAGGACGACCAGCCACACUGGGACUGAGACACGGCCCAGACUCCUACGGGAGGCAGCAGUGGGGAAUUUUGGACAAUGGGCGCAAGCCUGAUCCAGCAAUGCCGCGUGCAGGAUGAAGGCCUUCGGGUUGUAAACUGCUUUUGUACGGAACGAAAAGCCCUCUUCUAAUACAGGAGGGUCAUGACGGUACCGUAAGAAUAAGCACCGGCUAACUACGUG
rnacentral:rRNA from 1 species